rnacentral:ncRNA from 1 species
UCUAGGCUUAGCUGCUCCACGAGGUGCUUCCACGAGUCGGGUUGUUUGGGAAUGCAGCCCAAAAUGGAGGUACAUCCCUUCUAAGGCUAAAUACUGGCGAGAGACCGAUAGCGAACAAGUACCGUGAGGGAAAGAUGAAAAGAACUUUGAAAAGAGAGUUAAAAAGUGCUUGAAAUUGUUGAGAGGGAAGCGUUUGGAGGUUAUAGGUGCGCCUAGGCUUAUACGGUUCUAACGAGCCGUUGUAUGUGCUAGGUGCUGGUCAACAUGGGUUAGCUUGGCGGGAUAACAGCGGGGGUUGAUACCCCGUCUAUGCCGCCGGGUUGAUCAAGGUGUAAAUGGCGCUCUGUCCUUCGGGAACUGCGUCAUCAAGAUGUUGGCAGAAGGCCUUCAAACGACCCGUCUUGAAACACGGACCAAGGAGUCUAACAUGUAUGCGAGUUGGUGGGUGGAAAACCCAUGAGCGCAAGUAACCUGACUGGUGGGAUGGCCUGUGCCUGCAC